CUCUCUACUCGUGCAAAAAACAUGACCAACCAUUUGAUUCUGCUGACAAUAAUUUCAUUUUCCUUUCCCUCUGUCAGGCACUGUCUGAGAAUUUACAAAAUGAUUUAGAAAUGCCAAGAAGAAGAGAUAGAACAUAUCAAAAUAUCGCUGUUGAAGUCUUCUGGAAGAUGGGAGGAGAAAGAACAUGUUACUUGUACCAACCAUAUCCUAGGUAGAUACAUGUUAAAGGCAGUAAUAUUUAUGUUUUCGAUUAUUAAUUUGCGCACUUUUAAUUUGCAGCUGUGAAAAUGGAUAUUACGAUGGCAUCUGAAGAGGUUGUCGGCAGUCGUCCUAACGGAGAAGCGGAUCAAGAGGCUCGAAAUCCCUCGACAACAUGGUAAUGUAAAUGAAUCUCGUCUCCAAUAUGGUUGAUCUCUGAUUAUGCUUCAGCUAUUGAAUAAAGAUAAUGAAAUUUGAACUCCUAA